rnacentral:lncRNA from 1 species
AAAUCAGAAACUUCGAACAGAUCUUACACAAAAUUCAUUUUUGAAACUGGAAAAUUGACCCAGACAGAGAAAUCGACAUGCUCUCCCGUCCGUUUUUCUUCCACCAUCUGUAUAUGUGUGGCGACCAAUUUCAGAAGACAAUGGGGUGCGGCUGUCGUUUCUCCUGGAUAGAGUGGGUGGAGUUCCGGUGAGUUUGGUGGCUAUCUACGGCGGAUUCGAGUUUCGCUGGUUUUCUGGCAACUUGGAGAGACGACUGAAGGUGUUAGUUACUGUAUGAGGGAGGGUGGUGUCAGAGUUGUG